rnacentral:rRNA from 1 species
AUUGAACGCUGGCGGCAGGCUUAACACAUGCAAGUCGAACGAGUGGCGGACGGGUGAGUAACGUCUGGGCAACUGCCUGAUGGAGGGGGAUAACCACUGGAAACGGUAGCUAAUACCCCAUUCAAUCAUAUGUUCCCAGCUGGGAUUAGCUUGUUUGUGGGGUAACGGCUCACCAAGGCGACGAUCCCUAGCUGGUCUGAGAGGAUGACCAGCCACACGGGAACUGAGCCACGGUCCAGACUCCAACGGGAGGCAGCGGGGGGGAAUAUUGCACAAGGGGCGCAAGCCGGAUGCAGCCAUGCCGCGUGGAUGAAGAGGGCCUUCGGGUUGUAAAGUACUUUCAGCGGGGAGGCGGUACCCGAAGAAGAAGCACCGGCUAACUCCGUGCCAGCAGCCGCGGUAAUAC